AGAGUUUGAUCCUGGCUCAGGACGAACGCUGGCGGCGGGCUUAACACAUGCAAGUUGAAGGAGGAUCCCUGACUUCGGUUGGGGAGGANACUGGCGCACGGGUGAGUAACGCGUANACAACCUGCCUGGACCUGGGGGAUAACCCCGAGAAAUCGGGGCUAAUACCGCAUGAUGCAGCGGGGCCACAUGGCCACAGUUGUUAAAGGCUUUCGGGCCGGGUGCANAUGGGUCUGCGUGCUAUUAGUUAGUUGGUAGGGUAACGGCCUACCAAGGCGAUGAUAGCUAGGGGGUCUGAGAGGAUGAUCCCCCACACUGGGACUGAGACACGGCCCANACUCCUACGGGAGGCAGCAGUGAGGAAUCUUGCGCAAUGGAGGAAACUCUGACGCAGCCACGCCGCGUGCCGGAANACGGCCCUAUGGGUUGUAAACGGCUUUUGUUUGGNAANAACUGUCCCGAUUUGUCGGGGCUUGACGGUACCAAAUGAAUAAGCACCGGCUAACUCCGUGCCAGCAGCCGCGGUAAUACGGAGGGUGCAAGCGUUGUCCGGAAUCAUUGGGUGUAAAGGGUGCGCAGGCUGGCGCCUAAGUCGGAGGUGAAAUCUUGCCGCUUAACGGUAAAAUUGCCCCCGAUACUGGGUGUCUUGAAUCUGACAGAGGUCGGUGGAAUUCGUGGUGUAGCGGUGAAAUGCAUANAUAUCACGAANAACACCANUGGCGAAGGCGGCCGGCUGGGUCAGUAUUGACNCUGAGGCACGAAAGCGUGGGGAGCGAACAGGAUUAAAUACCCUGGUAGUCCACGCUGUAACGAUGUAUGCUANUUGUGGGN
rnacentral:rRNA from 1 species